CAGCUCCGCUUCAAGUAUCAGCGUGUUUCCAACGCUUCGAGACCCACGAGCCCCGCGCAGCCGGAGUCAGACCCCGCGCACGGCUCCACCAAGUGUUGAUGUUGUUGGAUAGCAACACGCCAUGGUAACUGUCCGCAACCGCCGUCACCAUCGCUAUCCCGCCGUCUUGAAGGAGGCUCGAGGCGUAAAGGAGAGAGAGAGCGCGGGAGAGGAGAAAGGAAGAUGUCGGCAGGCAGAACCAAUACUCAAAGCUCGCGUCUCUUCCUUUGCUGCCAGUAAACCAACUUUAAAAAAUACAUUCGAUACCGGAGUUAAUUUCGCCUCCCGAUCCCCCCCCCCCACCACCUCUACCCAGCCCACCCUUUGCCGGGUCGAUUGAAGGCGUAGGCCAGCGAAGCGUUGCUGUUCAAAUCCUGAACCUGGCUGUCGCUCCAGCAUUCAGGGUGGGGACUGAUACAGGGUGGAGGAGAGUGGCUUGAUGGACCAAGCUAGUGUUCGGACAGCAUUGUUUACACCACAAAGGAUUUAAAAACAAAUUUCGAUUUCUGUAUCGUCGUCGUCGUUGUCGUGUCAACAGUUUUGGGUUGGAGCGGGAUGCGCCAGCCUGUACCUGAAACUAUCAAGAAAGUGUCCCGCGCGCAGGAUGACGCAAGCAGCGCGUGUCAACAUGGCGGCGGCGGCGGAGUGGGGGUGGUGCCUGACAGGCGAUAUUUCACCGGGUGGUGGUACCUUCUAUGAUGUUGGUAUCCAGUGUACAGCAAACUGCCGCCUGAUGAAAAUAGUGGCGUUUUCAUAGCCGUCGUGGCUGUCGUGCGUUUAAACUGGAGGUUGCGUGAGUCAUGCGGCAGUUUUUAGCCUUGACGUAACUGCCGCGGCAGGAUAAGGUUUGGGGGUUGGGACGAUGGGGGGAGAGCCAACUGUUACGGAUGUUUCUCCUGGUGGCAGCGGUACCGCAGACUGGUACGCGGAGGUUUGAUCAUCAGUAGAUGACGUGGCGGCGACGCGACGCGACACGCGGCGUGGAGGCGACGCAGCAUGGUGGCAGAGUGAGGCGCGGGAGGAGCGGGACUUUCAGUUACCAGUGGGUGGAUGGAUGGAAAUACACUGACACGAGAGAGAGAAAGGAGAUCAAACAAACCUUCAGUUGCAAGUGAGAAGCAGAUAUUCAUGGCUACACAACUGUGAACCGAACACCGACGAACAGGAUCUGGUCGCAAGUCCUCUCAUCGACCCACUGCACAUGCGCGAUGACGUAGUUUCAAAGCGUCUGCUUUCACGUCUGCUGCCGCCAGCAGUUGAGGCGUGUCGCCAACGUACUUCUCCGUCCACGGGCGGCCCCGUGCGCUCAAGUUUGCAUAAUAGCGACUGAUCAGCCACAAACCAACUUUGUUGGUGUUUGUGUGUGUGUGAGUUUUUUUUUUUUUCUGCCCUCGACGCUUGGACCAAUGGACGGCUGGAGGCUUAUCAUGAAAGGUUGGCCCCAGCAAAACUACAGCUCAGGCUGACAUGUAAGGAUGGAAACACCUGACUGCUGUGUCACGAUCACUGGAACACCUGGUUGUGCAACGAUUACCUGAACACCUAGCUUCCGUCCCAGGUUGGUGGGCUGAACUGGGUUACCGUGCAGUCCUGCUGAUCGAUAGAUGGGUGGUUCCUUCUCCUUGGCUGCUUGCAAUGCCACUUCAGGUACAGUAACUCAUUGAAUCCGUUGUUUUGUCGUUGUGUCUGGUCCCGCGAAUUUUCU
rnacentral:lncRNA from 1 species